CUCCGCCCGCAGCUCCCCGGAUCCUCCUCUUCCUUCUCGGGACGGUUUCGCAGACGCCGCAGACAUGACGAGGAAAUUUUUUCCCCUCCCAGUGACCCUAGAAGUUUUUCUCUUUUUUUUUUUUUUUUUUAAACAACUUCCAGCCCGGCCGCCGAGGAAGGAAGCGGGGGAAUACGCAGCGCACACCGCCUCCGGCUGCUGCGUACCGCGCUGUCAGCGCCCAGCACCGCCCCACGGCAGCCCCGGUGCCGGGGGGGGGAGAGGGAAGACGGCGCCUCCGGGGGCAGGGAGUGCCGCGACGCCGGGGAAGAGCAGGACAAAGAGAGGAAGCUGAGGGGCUCGGGGCCUGCUCAGCCCCCACAUGCCCAGGGGGUGCAUAUGUAUGCGUGGAUGAAGGCGAAGCCGACGACAGCGGGCUGCUUCUGUGAAGUACUGAGCCCUCCUGGAGCUAAGGGGACUUUAAGAAGUGCUCAAUAUCCUUCCAGCUUUGGCUACCUCAUAAUAUGGCCUUUAAUGUAUGCACAACCUAUUUUUAGAAUCUAUAACGUGUUUUCUGGGUAAAACACUGCUUGAAAGACCCCCUCCUCUCCCUCUGAGUUGACAUUGAAUUUGAUUUAAUAGAAGAGCCUGAAAUUCUUUCCAUUAAAAAGUGCAUUAUAAAUGCUCAAGGAGCUGUAACUGCAGUUGAAAGCUAGGUAUAUUCCUGCCAAAGGGUAAACUAGCUUCAUCUAAUAGGAGAAUAGUUCUAGUGGAACAAUUUACCCUUUAUGAGUGUUUUUCCUAAAGACAGCAUAGGAAGUAUGUCUUCACUGUGCUUCCAGCAGAGCAAAAUAAAUUAAAUACACCUGCAGGUUACUGAAAAAAAAAAACCACUGGCAUUAAAAUAUGCAAGACAAUUUAUCUGCAUUUUCAGACUCUUAGCCUACUGAGUCAACCAAGUGGGCAAUAAAAGUCCACAGUGCUGGGAUUUGGUACAGCUUGUAAUGAUCCCGUGUAUGGCCUAAGACUGCACAUUCGUAUUGCACGUGGAAGAAGAAAGCCUUAAAGUGCUCAGCAAUGACAAGCAUUAUAAUUCUGACUCUGCAGAAGGGGAGACAGAGCCCCAGAGCAGAGAAAGCAGCUUGCCUAAGCCUGCAGAAAGAGGCUGUCUUAGAGGUUGAAAUAUUUGCAGCACUUGGCACAUGGACUUGUAUGCAGCCUUUAAAGAACAUACUGUUUUGCGGGGAGGGGAAAUCACAUUGCAUAUUUCCAUCAGAACUAUAAAUGCAAAAGUGAGCAAUCUGCACAAGAAGAGGUUGUGGCUUUUUUUUAAGUAUCAUGGUGCUCAAAUGUUCUUCUAUGCUUUUCCUCUUUACUGUGAGUAAAUAUCAUCCAGCCUAAAAACAGUAGGCUGAGCAUAAUAACUUCAAGCUGGGCAUUUUUUUUUUGCUACUGUUGUUAGCAACUGGAACAAAUUCUUCCUUUGCUCUCCCUGCACCACCCUAGGAGAAGCAACUGGCUUUGUUUUAGAUGCUGACAACUCUGUCUGUGCCCCAAGUAGCGACGAGUCUCACUGAAAGCAUACGAGCCAUCCAGCUGAACCACAGUACCCUGCUCUUGAACUUCAUUUUAAGGGCACAUAAUGUUAAGGGCUUAGCUAUGUGAAUAUGGAGUCCUUCAACACCCGCUCAAGGCAAGGAGAAGUACUCAAUGAAAGAAAUACAUACGGAAGUUGCAGCAACAAGAAUGCCGAAUAUGAAAGAAAUGCAGGAUUGGAUCCUGAGCCUGAUGAACAGGUAUUACUGAAUUGCAUUUAUUCACAUAACUGCAUCCAUAAGUUACAGCUCAUCAGUGUUUGCUGCUACAAACGCUUCGAGUCACAACAAGCGUGAGUGAUUGGAUGUGUCUACACAGCAUAAUUAGAGAUGUAAACAGUGGUUGCUAUUGCAGAAACUAGAGCAAUAUGCUAAGUAAUUACCUAAGUUAUUUCAGUCCAGAUAUAUUCUGUAUCAUUACUGUAAUUACAAGGAUUAAAUCCAAGCCCAUCAUACCUUCAGUAGUUCAGUUUGUGUGCAACAACAACAUGUUUCUCAAUUUGAAGAUGUUCCUUCUAUAACCGGGGUGGCCCACACUCUCCCCCAUUUUUAGUUGUCUAAGCCACAACGGAAAGGCCCAUUAAUGAAAGCAAGGUUAAUUACACCUUAUUGAGAAUGGCUUCAGAGGGUAUCCCUUCUAAAAAACAGCAGAGUGGGGAGUCUACACACUCUGUUCCGUUCUGCCUUAAAAAUGAAGCAAAACCUCACAAUGAAUGCCUCCAUUUAUGUUUCCGAGUUCUUUUCAUACUUAAUGUGUCUAUGUGAAUGUACCAAAUACAAACGAAGCUUGAGUAAUACACAACUAUUUUCCCUUUAUUUUCCUAUAUGGCUCAGCAUUCUAUUUUUCAAACCCUUCCCAAGAGCGAGAAAGAAACAAUUUCCCCACCCCCCCCUUCUUUGUUUCUUUUUCCUCUUACUCAGGAAGGAGCUUUAGUGAAUCUGUUAGGACCAUUGUGCUAUAUUCAGUGUAACUUAGUGCAGCUCAUGUGUGAAUUGAGGCUCUCUUCUCUAUGAGAAAAGAUAUAUCCCCAUACGAUAAGUACUUUCCCUAAAGCCCUGUUAUUAUUUGUCAAAUUAUAAAGGCCAGAAUACCUUCAACAUGGUAUGAACAAUAUGGUUCAUGUCUACGCUACACAUAGUGAAGAUGGUCAUAUAAGUUAGCACAGCACCUCUUAUUAAAAAAAAAAGACAAAAUAUAAUGGAUAACUCAUUCUCAAUACGAAGAGGCUGAGAAAGCACUACAAAAAUUUCAUCUUUGCAUAGGCCAGUGAUAAUUUCUUCCUUAAAAGAUAAAUUCAGUAACUUCAACCAAGGGUUGACUCUCAACUAAGCACACUGUGAAGCCACAAAGGAACAUGAAGAAUGACACAAAAGAUAUGCAAUGGUUUUAGUACAAAUGAUUGCUGGAAAAACAACUUCUACCCAUGCUAAAAAGCCUUUGGGCUUGAUUCUACAACUGCUCCAAGCAGAAAAAUACAUACUGUUUCAACAGUAAUGGUAUUUUGUUUGUUUUAUUUGGAUGAAAGGGGGCUGCAGUGACAGUGGGAAUUGUUGCCAUACUCAUAGAAUAUGCUGAUUUGGGAAGGGACCCACAAGGAUCAUUGAGUCCAACUCGGCUCCACACAGCACCACCCAAAAUCAAAACCCACAGUUCAAGUAUACAGCUCAUUUGCUAAUCCCACUAUAAACCAGCUUAAGUUUCAAACAAAGUCAGGCUCAAAUGCGGCCAGCUAAAAUAUCUACAGAAUCCUCCUGUUUCAGCACACAGUGCUGUCACGUCCCAUGGGACAGAACCUAC
ensembl:lncRNA